GGAAUCCUUAUUGUUUCUGCAUUAUUCGGAUACGACAAGGAAAAACUUGUUAGCAACUGUGGCACGAAAACUCAUUCACGAUGAUUUUACUGUUGUGUUUCGUCAUGUUGCCUGCACUGUUGGCAGCUGAAUUUACUUGCCCAGAUGGAACAAGCUGUCCAGAUGGAAAAGCAUGUUGCUAUGGAAGAGAUCAGAAAUUCCAGUGCUGUGAUAUCAACACUAAGGGAAAUAGAAAACUAAUCCCGGGCGUAGAAAUCGCAACAGCCUUUAAUCACUCUAUAUUAUCAUCAGAAAAACAGCACUCUAUCUUUUGUGACCUCAGCUGCGAUGGUACAUGUUGUGAUGACUAUUGUUGCCUUCAUCAUUACGGCGCCACUUGCUGCGCCGAUCCAUCACACUGCUGCCCUGCUGAUCAUGAGUGCUGUGACAAUUCAUAUUGCUGUUCUCCUGGAUAUACCUGUUCCAGUUUUCUAGAGAUGUGUGUGGCUGGAGCAUCAUCCUUUACAUCUAGCCUGACGUCAUUAGCUUUGCUAUUGAUUAUUUCAAAAAUAUUCGUACAUUAAAUUGUUAUUGAAAGAAAAGAAUUGUUGUAAAGUGUUACGGACAGAAAAUGCUUGAAAAUGAGUAUUGCUGAUAUAUUACUGAAACGCAAUGUUUUUAUUUGGCUGGUGCAGUAAAACAUGUAAAGUUGAUCACCCUUGUAAGUCUAAGUUUACCACUUUUACCUGGUGCAGAAUAAGUUCUAUAUAUUGAAUGAAACGACAACAACGUGUAUAAAGUAC